rnacentral:rRNA from 1 species
UACGUAGGGGGCAAGCGUUGUCCGGAAUCAUUGGGCGUAAAGCGCGUGUAGGCGGCUCGAUAAGUCCGCUGUGAAAGUCCAGGGCUCAACCCUGGGAUGCCGGUGGAUACUGUCGGGCUCGAGUCCGGAAGAGGCGAGUGGAAUUCCUGGUGUAGCGGUGAAAUGCGCAGAUAUCAGGAGGAACACCGAUGGCGAAGGCAGCUCGCUGGGACGUGACUGACGCUGAGACGCGAAAGCGUGGGGAGCAAACAGG